rnacentral:rRNA from 1 species
GAUGAACGCUGGCGGCGUGCUUAACACAUGCAAGUCGAACGGAAAGGCUCCUGCUUGCAGGGGUACUCGAGUGGCGAACGGGUGAGUAACACGUGGGUGAUCUGCCCUGCACUUCGGGAUAAGCCUGGGAAACUGGGUCUAAUACCGGAUAGGACCACAUUUUGGAUGGUGUGGUGGAAAGUUUUUCGGUGUGGGAUGAGCUCGCGGCCUAUCAGCUUGUUGGUGGGGUAAUGGCCUACCAAGGCGUCGACGGGUAGCCGGCCUGAGAGGGUGUACGGCCACAUUGGGACUGAGAGACGGCCCAGACUCCUACGGGAGGCAGCAGGGGGGAAUAUUGCACAAUGGGAGCAAGCCUGAUGCAGCGACGCCGCGUGGGGGAUGACGGCCUUCGGGUUGUAAACUCCUUUCGCUAGGGACGAAGCGUUUUUGUGACGGUACCUGGAGAAGAAGCACCGGCUAACUACGUG